UUCAUCAACUGACUUUGAGCUUUAAGGUAUAAUUGAGUAACAUUAAGACUUAUAAUUCUAGUUUAAAAUGUCUUGAAUAACUUUCAGCAUGAAGUAUUGUGUGGUGAAAACAAUGUGUAUGUACUACAAUGUGUAAAUCAACAAUAAGUUUGUUGCAAAGGAGAUUCAAAGUGGAUGGUUAAAGUGAUAUGGUCUCAUAAUUCAUCAACUGCCUGUUAUCUUGGAAUACUGAAGAACAGUUGUUUUAGGUUAGACUCCCAAGGUGAAAUUUACAUUGAUUGGAAGAUUCUUUGGAUAGAAUAUUCCUGUCAAAAGACAGCAGAAGGGGGACUAACUGAUGUAUGGAUUUUGACACCAGAUUUUACCCUGCACGAGCAGCCCAACUUGAGUAGAUCAGGAGUGGGAAAACCGAGCCCUGUCCUUGACCAAGGAAAGUUGGAUUUGUUGAGAGGACCUGAUCUCAAAUGAGAUCAUGCACAAGACGCACCUCGCAAAGGCCAUGACAGUAUAGUUUUCAGACCUGAUCAGCUGGUCAGACUGCUCUAUGAAGUGCUGUUCAACCUCCCCUAAGGGGGAGAUUCGAGAGGGUCUCCUGAUUGCUGAACACUACGCCAUGGUUGUUGUCAUCUCCAAAAAGUUUGCCCUGCCCAUAUCAACAGUGGAAGAGAACAUGAGAUGGGCCUUGAGGAGGCUUCGUGUCAUGUACUGCGGGGAGAAUAUAUAAACUGUUUAGUGCUGAGCAAUAUGUUCCUUUGUUCAUAGGUGUAAAUAUGUGUAAAGGGCUAUUCAAGGAAAAGAUAGGAUGAAGGAUUCCUUAAUGUUGUCAUUUUAUAAAUCCGGUACC